rnacentral:rRNA from 2 species
AAAUUGAAGAGUUUGAUCAUGGCUCAGAUUGAACGCUGGCGGCAGGCCUAACACAUGCAAGUCGAACGGUAACAGGAAGAAGCUUGCUUCUUUGCUGACGAGUGGCGGAC